rnacentral:rRNA from 1 species
CCUCAAAUCAGGUAGGACUACCCGCUGAACUUAAGCAUAUCAAUAAGCGGAGGAAAAGAAACUAACAAGGAUUCCCCUAGUAACUGCGAGUGAAGCGGGAAAAGCUCAAAUUUAAAAUCUGGUGGUCUUUGGCCAUCCGAGUUGUAAUCUAGAGAAGUGUUACCCGUGUCGGACCGUGUACAAGUCUCCUGGAAUGGAGCGUCAUAGAGGGUGAGAAUCCCGUCUUUGACACGGACUACCGAGGCUUUGUGGUGCGCUCUCAAAGAGUCGAGUUGUUUGGGAAUGCAGCUCAAAAUGGGUGGUAAAUUCCAUCUAAAGCUAAAUAUUGGCGAGAGACCGAUAGCGAACAAGUACCGUGAGGGAAAGAUGAAAAGAACUUUGGAAAGAGAGUUAAACAGUACGUGAAAUUGCUGAAAGGGAAACGCUUGAAGUCAGUCGCGUUAGCCGGAAAUCAGCCUUGCUUCUGCUGGGUGUAUUUUCUGGUUGACGGGCCAGCAUCAGUUUUGACCGGUGGAAAAAGUCUAGAGGAAUGUGGCAUCUUCGGAUGUGUUAUAGCCUUUGGUCGUAUACAUCGAUUGGGACUGAGGAACUCAGCACUUGUGCUUAGGAUGCUGGCC